GGCUUGUUGAUUUUAAAACAUAACAAGUCUUACCUGCCCACUGAAGAUUUUAAAGGCUGCAGUAUCCUGACUGUACGAAGGUAGCAUAAUAAUUUGUCUUAUAAUUGAAGAAUGGAAUGAAUGGUUUGACAUGGGUGAAACUGUCUCUUAUAUAUUUACUUGAAGUUAAUCUUCAGGUUAAAAAGCUUGAAUAAAAUUAAAGGACGAGAAGACCCUAUUGAGCUUUAAUGAAUAAUUUAAUAAUAAAAGAUAGUUAGAUUAUUAUAAAUUUAUAAAUUUUAGUUGGGGCGACUAAGGAACAAAUAAAGCUUCCUUUUUUAAUUAAAAAAGCUGUUUAUAGAUCCAGUAUUUUUGAACAAAGACCAAGCUACCAUAGGGAUAACAGCGUUAUCUUUUUAGAGAGUUCUUAUCGAAAGAGGGGGUUGCGACCUCGAUGUUGGAUUAAAAUAUAAUAAAGGUUGUAGAAGCUUUUAUGAUUAGUCUGUUCGACUAUUAAAAUUUU
rnacentral:rRNA from 1 species